UAUGACGUGUCCGGCCUAUAAAAGCCGCGGGCUUUCAGCGUCACAUCCUCUUUCCGUAGCUCUUCUCGCUUCGAGAAAGCCUCCCCACGAUGAGAGCCAAGUGGAGGAAGAAGCGUAUGCGCAGGCUGAAGCGUAAAAGGAGAAAGAUGAGGCAGAGGUCAAAGUAAGCCCUCAUCCUUGCCAGCUGUGGUCCCAUCCGAGCUUUUCCAGACGACUGCCUGUAAGCUGAAGGGGAUUGUUGGCAGCGUUUAUCGGCAAAACAAGGCCUAUAUCCUGACUUCACAUGACCACACCUUCGAUGGAGGAGCAAGCUGUGGAUGUCUGACGGAUGGCAAAGAUGCUGGAAAGACCUAUCAUCAGAAGUGCAGCUGCUUUUGUUCAUGGACCAUGAUGAAUUUUUGUUUAAUUACAUCUGUCAUGUGGUGUAUUGAACAAUAAAUGUACACAAGUUUA